rnacentral:rRNA from 1 species
UAGGAAAGGGGCUAGCAUUGUUCGGAUUUACUGGGCGUAAAGCGCACGUAGGCGGUCUUGUAAGAUGGGGGUGAAAUCCCCGGGCUCAACCCGGGAACUGCCUUCAUGACUGCAAAGCUAGAGGAUGCGAGAGGUUGGCGGAAUUCCGAGUGUAGAGGUGAAAUUCGUAGAUAUUCGGAAGAACACCAGUGGCGAAGGCGGCCAACUGGCGCAUUUUUGACGCUGAGGUGCGAAAGCGUGGGGAGCAAACAGG